GCGAAUGUAGUUCAUCGGUAGAACGAGAGCUUCCCAAGCUCUAGAGGCGGGUUCGACUCCCGUCAUUCGCU
rnacentral:tRNA from 3 species